CAUAGGGAUUGAUGUUUAAGUUAAAGAUAACUAAAUAUUAUAAUUAAAAAAGCUAAAAAUAAAUAAAUAAAUGUUGACGGUUGACACUUCCUAGCCUACACUAUAUCAAUAGCUGACAGAAUUGAAAGUGAACCCCUUUUGUAUCAAAUGGUUUUAUUAAUUUUUAACCAAUCGUACACAACAAGUAAGGGUUAAUAAUUGUUAUUCUGAGGUGAAAAUUACUAAUACGGGGGCACCGCAGGGGUGUGUUAGUUCACCCAUUCUGUUUAAUGAGUAUGUUUCAGAUUUGAGGGAGUACCACCAGCCAUGCCAGGGGUACCACACUAUUCCGUCAUCAGUGACUGCGCUGUAGGGGCCUCUGUGGUAGAAUCCAUUCAGAUUGGCAGAGUGACAUCUAGAGGAAUACAGAUGCAGACCUGUUAAACCACCAGCCACCCUUGUCCUCCUGAGCACAACUGCGAUCAUAGCGGUCAUUAUCUCUGUCUCG